AUACAGAGGGUGCAAGCGUUAUUCGGAAUUACUGGGCGUAAAGCGCGCGCAGGCGGUCUUUUAAGUUGGAUGUGAAAGCCUACGGCUCAACCGUAGAACUGCAUCCAAAACUAUUAGACUAGAGUGUGGGAGAGGAAGAUGGAAUUAGUUGUGUAGGGGUAAAAUCCGUAGAGAUAACUAGGAAUACCAAAAGCGAAGGCAAUCUUCUGGAACACUACUGACGCUGAGGCGCGAAAGCGUGGGGAGCAAACAGGAUUAGAUACCCUUGUAGUCC
rnacentral:rRNA from 1 species